GAUGAAGAACGUAGCGAAAUGCGAUAAGUAAUGUGAAUUGCAGAAUCCAGUGAAUCAUCGAAUCUUUGAACGCACAUUGCGCCCGCCAGCAUUCUGGCGGGCAUGCCUGUUCGAGCGUCAUUUCAACCCUCGACCUCCCUUUGGGGAAGUCGGCGUUGGGGACCGGCAGCACACCGCCGGCCCUGAAAUGGAGUGGCGGCCCGUCCGCGGCGACCUCUGCGUAGUAAACCAACUCGCACCGGAACCCCGACGUGGCCACGCCGUAAAACACCCAACUUCUGAACGUUGACCUCGAAUCAGGUAGGACUACCCACUGAACUUAAGCAUCUCAAUAAGCGGAGGA
rnacentral:misc_RNA from 1 species